AAAUAUCUACGUAAUUUCAGAUUCCAACAGUACCGGCAUUCCACAGGCAAGUGAAUAUGAGAAAAUAAAAUCAAUUCAAGCUCCAGAACACGAAUAUGGACAUAUAUCAUCUGCUGUUUGAACUUCAUGUAUCAGAAGCUAGAAACUGCAGACUACGAAAUAUAGCAACUUCUCUGAAUAUGAUAUAGAGUUACUGUGUAUACCUUUUAGUUAAAAUUAGUAGGACAGAGAUGGACACUUCUUGUAAUGUGUAUUUAUAUAGAAUACUAAUUUGUAAUGAUCAUUUACAGAGGAUAUAUAUACUAACACAAUCGCAGUGUUACCUACACUUCUCGUAUGUUAUGGAACUUCUCGUCAAGUUUAGGGAAGUUGAUUCGUUGGCUCAUUUUUAAAGCCUCUCCUACAUUUCGCAAACUGACCAAUUUAUCCCCUUAAUAUGACAGUGUAAUCAGUAUUUAAUGCUUUAUUUGUAUAUCAUUUCUUCUUGAUUGUGUUAUAAAAUGCCUUUAUUGUAUCAAAAGUAAAAAUGUUUAAACAUUUAGCCAUUUCAUUUUAAAACACUAAGAAUGUUAUACAUUUAAAAUGUAAUUUACUAUAUGUUUUUCAACAAUAUAAUCUCGCAAGUAAAUGCAUUUUAUUCAUAAAUUGCGUAAGUAAUAUAAAAAUAGACUCCUACAAUUGAGCAGACGAAUAUAUUGAAAACGCAGACAAGCGAGGGUGAUAUUGAAUACAUAUUUUGCCAACAUGAGAAAAGUUUUAAGACGCAAGGCAAUAACUUAUAUUUAACAAACUCAAAGUUAAGCCUUUAUUUUCCCGUAAGUAACAUAAGCAUUUGUAUCAAAUUCUUUAUAUGUGCUACA